CGAGUGGCGGACGGGUGAGUAAUGCGUAGGAAUUUACCUCAAAGUGGGGGAUAGCCCGGAGAAAUCCGGAUUAAUACCGCAUGUGCACUACGGUGGAAAGCGGGCCUCUUCUUGAAAGCUCGCGCUUUGAGAUAAGCCUACGUCGGAUUAGCUUGUUGGUAGGGUAAAAGCCUACCGAGGCGACGAUCCGUAGCUGGUUUGAGAGGAUGAUCAGCCACACUGGGACUGAGACACGGCCCAG
rnacentral:rRNA from 1 species